AACGCACAUUGCGCCCAUGAGUAUUCUCUUGGGCAUGCCUGUUCGAGCGUCAUUUCAACCCUUAAGCUUAGCUUAGUGUUGGGAAUCUACUAUCCGGGCGGAGCUACCCUGUAGCUUACCCUGUAGUUCCUGAAAACCAACGGCGGAUUUACAGUGUCCUCUGAGCGUAGUAAUUAUUCUCUCGCUUCCGUCAGGCGCUGUAACUCUGGCCGCUAAACCCUUAAACUCAAAUGGUUGACCUCGGAUCAGGUAGGAAUACCCGCUGAACUUAA
rnacentral:misc_RNA from 1 species